CUGUCAUGCUCUGGAAAUAGUUAUGGUCAAGCGCAAUGGAAUUUAGUAUCAGAAAGAAGGUUAGACAUGCCUUAGGAGUUGUAAGCCCAUAUCUGGGUGAGAAGCAUAUAGAUUUUCAAUUUUUAUUUGCAUAGCUAAACACUGGGUAAAUUGAAAAGACCAAAAAAAGAAAAAAGAGAAAAGAAUAACCGAAACAAAAACACAGUAUAGGUUUUCAAGUUACAUCUUGGAUAGAGCUCUAAAUAUCGGGAAACCUGAUUCAAGUCAUAAGACUGAUGACACAUCUUUUCUCUUAGAGCUUCUCAAGUGCUGGGGCUCGAUACAAUUUCCGUCCUUGUCUUUUCACUCAUGUUUGGGUGCUAGACUCUAUACUUUAUUAGAGCCAGAUUUAGUAAACCUACAUUAUCAUUCUGGCUUGUAUCAAACAGAGCAAAGCAAAUGAAUAGAAACCAGUCAGAGAAUUGGAGAGAAGUCUUGGGAAAAAGAAGGAUCAUUUCCCCACUCAUUUCCCGUCCUGGCUACACCUUCUACCUUGCCUUGAAUUAGACAUGUCCAGGCCUCUGAUUUAGUGAUUUUCGUUCAGUUUUCUGACAUCUAGUGUGCAAUUUCCUUCUCUGCUUUAAUCUGAAGCAGAUUACACUCCUCUUCCCCUGUCGUGAGUUUUAGUUGAUCUGAUACUAAUGUCUGUUAGUAGCAAAAGGAUCAGCAGAGGUACUCUUUCAUUGCUAUUUGCUUCAGGUAAAUCAUCAGCCAUUAGCAACAGCAUUUCCCAACCAGACUGAUUGCUGCUAAAUUCUUCAAACUCUGGUCAUCUCUUUGCGCCCUUCUGUGAAAGUUCAGCUGCAAUCUUCUUCUUUUGUCUUUGCACAAAGCCUGAAGCCAAUUCCCACUGUUUGAUGCCAAGAAGCUUACCACAAAACGCUUUUUACCCAUUCAAAGUUAAGUUUCUUAAACGAGCAGAAGAUUCGCCUUCAGCAUGUAGAUCAUUUAUAAUUGAGGUUUUGCUCAAUAUAGUUGGUUAUGGAUUAAGUGAUUUGACAUGAAUGCUUCGGUUAUGAACCAAAUCGAUUUUAAAGAGAUUGAACAGAAAGGCACUGAAACUCAACCGAUAUCUCAGAGUUGCAAUUUAUAUUGGAGGAACUCGGUGGAGUGGACUUAUUUUGAUUUUUGAUGAAAGAUAAUUCACUCACUUUUGACACUUUUUGUUAGCUGAAUACACAUUUAUAAUCCUUUCAGUUACCUUGCCCAUUUUCUCUGUUUCUAUUUCUUCUUGACACUUUUAUAUUUAUGAAAAAGAUGAAUGCCCAUGAGAGCUACGAAUCACAGAAAAAGUAAAUGUGAAGCAUUAAACAAGUGUUUAAAAUCUUACAUGGUGAAUUUUACGAUAUAAGGUAAAAUCAUACCUUUGUGUAGUGUAUGGACUAAAAUUACCAUUUAGUACCAGGAACUGUAUAAAUUUUACUUGAAAGAGCGUUGAAAUCUACGUUAUAUAAAAGAUGGUUACGGGGAAGUGUUAAUUUUGAAGUCCAAGGUAUGAGUUCUCAGGAAAUCUUUGAGAAAGAGAGACACUGACGGAACUCGUCAUAGAACAAGGAAAAAACUCAUGGAUUAAUGGCCAAAAUUGUACAAAUUGGAACUCUUUGUGUUAUUGACAAUUCUAUGCAAGUUAUUCAAUGGAUUUAACCAGUCUAUAAUACCCCUGGGAUUGUAACAGAAACAUCAAUCUUUAGCUAGUCUUUUACUGAGGUUGUGGGUGUCCGGCCUUCAGGAGUUCUACCAUCUCUCUCUGUCACUGUUAAUCACCUACCGAUGCUAGCAUUUCUUGAUUGCACUUCAUGAAUCAACAAAUGUGUCAUUGUUAGAUAAUGAUCUUCACAAACAGUUACAUCCAUCACUAAAGAGGAAAAAGAAAAGGAAAACAAAGAAAAGCUCAAAUAUUUUUUCUCAUCUUCAACAUUAUCCUCCAUUAAAGAUGAAAUUCAAGGUUUCUCUGAAAAGCAAGCAAUUUCCUUAAUAGCCCCCAUAGUCUACGCUUCCUCCCAUGAGAUUGAUUUUGUUUUUUAACCCGCGUGAGAAAGAAAUAGGUUUCAGUUAACCCUCAAUGUAUAACAAAAAUGAGAUUUCCAUGUGCUUUGUUGAUUAUACCACAACUGCUUUUCUUUCUUUCGUGAAUAUGCUGUACGACAAGAAUGCUUAUAUGAAAGCUCUCCUUUAGUUAGAGUUUCCUUGUUAUACUCUUCAUAUUAAGCUCUUUAGUGUAUUUUUCAAGAGAUUUGUGCUAGUAAGCAAAAAGAAGAAAACAAUUGAAACUUGAGAAAAUCUUGAGUCAAAAGAAAAAAAAGAAAAGAAAAUGUCACUUGUUUAAAAUGAUGGAACAACAAUAGACUUCCUUAUGAUAGGAGUAACUAGUGUAGCAGGUUUGUUUAAUGUGCACAUAGAGUCGAACCCCCUUUAGAUGUUUAUGUUCAUGAAACUGCAACGGACUUGGAGGUGAAUAUAUUGUUGACUUGUGAAAUUGGCAUGACAGCUUUGUGCUUCACUGAAUAUAAACAAGAAAAGUGUGGAUAGGGACCUUGAUGUUUAUCGCAAUUUGCUCUCCAAGCUGGUUCAGGCUAAAGAGCUGUUGAAGGAAUAUGUGGAAAGGGAGAAGAAAAAAAGAGGAGAAAGGGAAUCUCAGAAGGCCAAUGAGGCUGUCACAAAAUGCUUGGGAGAUUACCAAUAUGCUGGGAGGUAAGGCAAAGAUCAUUUCGUUCUCCUGCUUGGACCUCAUUGACUUGUUUCCCAAAUGAAACAGUCCAUGUAUGAUAGAGUUCAGUCUCCAAAGCUCAGUCAAGUUAUAUUAGAAAAUGGAAGUUACGUUCAAUGUUUUGUUAUUACAGCAAUUGAGGUAUAUCCCAAUGUUCAUUAUUUUCUGGUUAAACAGAAUAGCUUUAUUGUUGCAACUAUGUCUAUUAUAUUUGUAGAUAAAACCUCGAGUAGUGACAAAAAUCAAGAUUUGCUCAGCAGUCAUGCUUCUCAUUUUCUUUGGUUCUGCUUUUGCUUCAAGUUGUAAACAGUGCUUUACAACUAUCUAUACGUUUUAGUUGGCAAA